CAGAAAUGAACUAAAUUUCAAUUCUGAUUAGAACUGGAUGUACACAUCUGAAAAGUGAGUGCAUUACGACUGUCAAGUUUAUUGCUGAAAAGUAACUUUUGCCUUUUAUGAAUCUCAGCUUAUUUGACCAUAAUUGAUUUUUAUUCCUUUCAUUUUUUUUUCCAGUGUGUUGCUUUUGGAUGAUGAAUAUCAAUCAAGUGCUGUGUGAGCUGGUGCACAGAUCUGUUUCUUCCAUGCGCUCCUGUGGAACACUUUGGUUAAGGAGCAAGCCCACGUGACAGUGCAGACCAGAGGAGUGCCUUGGUGAGUUUGAUACCAGAUUAAUGUAACCACUCUUAGUGUGUUAGAUGUUUUGCUUCAACUUUCUGAGCUGGUGUAUGGCUGUUCUUACUGAGUCCUGCUGCAUCAGAAAAACUGGCUUUUAAGCUUGAGACUGUCUGAGGAAUUUGUUGUGAUGAUUGGCAAAAUGUUCAACUGCUCUGAAGAGAGUGAGUGAGAAUGGCCUUUCUGAACAAAUGUACUGCCUGACUUCAUACUGCGUAUCCGUGCUGAGGAUGGAACAUGCAGAAUGUUGUCAGUGAAUAAAGACUAACUUUUUAGUUAAUAAAACUGUCAAAUUACAUUUUUAAUGUUCAUUGUAGUACCUUGAAGUGUGAUUGCAGUGGGAGAAGUCCACAGAAAUGCCUGUGAUGAUUAGAAAUGACUUCUGAAGGUUCUAGAAUUCACUGCUGUAGGUUCUACCUGUAUGCGCAUGCAUGUCAUUUUGUAACCCUGCAGUGAUGUUGCUUUUUCAGGUGGCAGGUGAUGAGGAAAUGAGAGAAGAAAUGCAGAAAGCCACUUGACAGAGACAGGAGCUCCCUUAUAGGUUAGUAUGCCAUCUGAGCUUCUGCAAAUGCAUUGGUGUUUGAGGGGCUCUGGUUUUCAGUGGCUGGAGCUGUUCACCUGAUGAAGCUCAGUGCCUUUGGGAGUGUUACAGGGACAGAGCUCAAAGUUAUGUCAGUAUAUUUUAAGGUAGUGUUCCCUUUCAGUCUGUUAAGUCUUUAACUUUGAUAUAUCCCAAGAAAGAUCUCACAGUCUGAAAUGAAGUGAUGAGCUUAACUUGCUAAACUUGGGCUUUACUUUAAAAUUAAAUGAGUACUUAGAGAAGUUAGUGUUUGAAUAAACAUUGUAGUUAAUUCUCUCAGUUUUAUAUUGUUCAUGUAAUGUUAGCUUUUAACAUGAAACUGUUGCUGAUGUGGAGUUACUGCUGCAUCUUCCCAAUGAAAUGGUAGUGUAACAUUUCCCUCCCUUUUCCCCCAAAAGUCAUGACAGAAGAAGGAACUUUAUAGGAACUGUAUGAGAUGCUUUUCCAGUCUGCUUGAUUUUUGUUGCAUUAGUUUAUGGUCACAGAAAUGUUGAGGUCUAUCCCGAUAGGAUCUCUUCUGUAGGUUCAUGUCGUUGGAAACGCCUCACAGAACAAACUUGUGGUUUAGUUUUACCCUUGGAGCUACCUGUUAGCUCUGUGGGAUAGAACUACAAGACAAAUCUUCAUGUACCAUUUCAGGAAUGGAAGUAACGUGUCAUGUUCUCCCUCAGGUACUGGCUCAUGCAUUUGAUAUAAAUGGAAAAAAAAAGAUUCAAAUGGAAAAGCUUGGUAAGAGUGAAAAAGAGCAUGUUCUGAGAUUUAAAAUGUAACUAACAUGUUUAAUUGUGUGGGUUGAACUUGCUCUUCAGCCAGAUGUCUGUGAAGGUACCAGACCUCUUAGUGGCUUUUUUUUUUCCUGGUUGGCCUGAAGCAGACUCUUCCCACUUCAAUCUGAAAGUGACUUUCUGUUCCUUGUGGUGGCUAUAGGUUUAAAUUAAGAAGUCCAGCCCUCUGAUGUCUGUCCAGUCUUAAAGUAAUUCAGUGAGCCUGCCGGAUUUUUGCUCUAUGUAAUUCAGCAAUACUGCUUUUCUCUUGCUAAGCUUCAAAGUAGCUGAGCAUCUCAGGCAGUUUACUAGUACAGUGUCAGAAGUCCUGGGUUGUAUGGAGCAUUGUGCUAUUCUAUAGAACACAGCUUAAAGUAAAACGCAGACAAUGCUUCUAUAAGCCCUUUGUGCUGGGAAUAUAAAUACUUGAAAGAAUUACGAGGCUGCUGAAAUUGAUGGAAUUUCUUUUCCCUCUUCGUUGCAUGGCAACUUCUGUGAAAUUGGUACUUCAGCUUAUCGCUGCCUGGUGUAUGGACAGCUUGAACCUUAACGUGCAUUUGUUGACUGAGGACUGCUGCGUCUGUUGCACUGAAUGGUAUCUGCACCCAGCAGCGUUCUUCUGAUGGGGUGUUCAAAAACCAGUGCUACAGUAAUUCAGCAUUUGGCAUCGUUGGUUUUCACUCUGCAGUGGUUGUUAAACCUGGUAUUCUUGCUGAUACAGGUGCUGCCCUCUUCAAGGAUUUGAGCGCAGUCCUUUUAUGUCGGGUAGGACUUGUCGGUGUGAGCUGCCCACUGGUUCUCCCUCGUGCUCAGUUUGUUUUUUUUAAACAGGUGCCUUGGGAUACACAACAGUCAGUUGGCUGUGGAAGAGGAAACAAAGUGUUGGACAGAGUCUGCUGCUGUCACUGAAUGUCAGGGGGUGAGAAGUUGUACCUGAGUGCUGCCACAGUAAGUCUGUAGGUAAGAUGCUUAGCAGCAGUGCUGGUACCCACAAGAAAUUCAAGGUCGCUUCAAAGAGGGUUUGCAUGGCUGGAGAACCAGCAGCUCUUAACGCAGUGACCGUACAUCGAACUCCUUUCAGCAGGAUGCUGUAGCCACUUUGUGUGUGCUGUGGUCUAUUUCAGAGGAGACAAUUCUUAAGUUAUAUUGCUGCUUGGAAUGAGAAACCACCUGUAGCUUCUGCCCUGUCACUUCUUGAAUUGCUAAUGCAGGCAGAAUGCUACUGAUUUCAUCUGCAAGCAGCUGACUUCAGCAGCACGUGGGGUUGGAAGAGAAUAUUCAUACAGUUGUGGCAUGAUGAGUUGUUCUUGUAUCUUUUAAUGCUUUUUUUUCUGCUUGGGUGUAUGGCAUGUUCUUGAAACUGCAUGGAAACAGAUAAUCCCAAGUAGGUGAGGAAGUGGACAGUAGUGUUGAAAUGGAAUAUUAUGGAUAGAGUGCAUAUAGGAAACUAAUCAGAGCUACCAUGCAAAAUGAUUUUGCCCCUAAAGAGUUUAGUAAGGGACGUAUAUAUGUGUGCCUGCCUUACUGCUGUUACAUUGGCACCAUGUUACAAAGUUAAGUUCCUUCAGCCUAUAGGAAGGGAGAAGGCAAAGUGCUUUUCUUUCUCUUGAGUUAUGGUGCUAACUAUUUUUUUUUUUCUCCCAGGUCCUGAUGUGAUGUUGCUGCAAGUCUCUUGCAAGAAAGAAAAGGACAGCUCUUAAAUGCUCUUAAACACUCCUAUUUCUUGUAAUAAUUGAGAAUGUUAAAUAUUUUAACUUCACUGCCCUGUAAGUUGAAUUAGUGGAUCAAGGUGUGGUUGUACAAGGAAAGGGUUAUCAACUAUGUUCCAACUGCUCAAGUGUGGAGAGGGGGCUGUUUACUUCAUACAGAAUGUAACAUUCAAAUAAAACUGAUGCCUGAAAGAAGCAGCUGCAGCCAGGGAAUUAUUUUGUACUGCUACACUGCAAGCCAACACAGGUGUAAAGCUAAAGCAGGGAUUUAGCUUUAGCUAAAUCUUAAAUGCUAAAGCCUCUAGAAAAACAGACAGUAAAGGUGAGAGAGCCUGCACACUGCAACUAGCCCUCUUCCUUCAGCUCUUUGUCCUGUACUGUUUGUUUAGGGGGAGUUGUAACAGUUUGGGUCUCUUCAGCAAUUGCAGUACCUCUAACUAAAGUGGGGACUGAAAUGUAUGUUUAAUUAUUCUAUGCU
rnacentral:lncRNA from 1 species